GACGAACGCUGGCGGCGUGCCUAAUACAUGCAAGUCGAGCGGACCAAAGGGAGCUUGCUCCUGGAGGUUAGCGGCGAACGGGUGAGUAACACGUGGGCAACCUGCCUGUAAGACUGGGAUAACAUCGAGAAAUCGGUGCUAAUACCGGAUAAUAAAAAGAACUGCAUGGUUCUUUUUUGAAAGAUGGUUUCGGCUAUCACUUACAGAUGGGCCCGCGGCGCAUUAGCUAGUUGGUGAGGUAACGGCUCACCAAGGCGACGAUGCGUAGCCGACCUGAGAGGGUGAUCGGCCACACUGGGACUGAGACACGGCCCAGACUCCUACGGGAGGCAGCAGUAGGGAAUCUUCCGCAAUGGACGAAAGUCUGACGGAGCAACGCCGCGUGAGUGAUGAAGGUUUUCGGAUCGUAAAACUCUGUUGUUAGGGAAGAACAAGUGCCGUUCGAAAGGGCGGCACCUUGACGGUACCUAACGAGAAAGCCACGGCUAACUACGUGCCAGCAGCCGCGGU
rnacentral:rRNA from 1 species